GAAAUGUGGAGAUCCUGGUCUUCCAGGGCCUGAUGGUGAACCAGGAAUUCCAGGAAUUGGAUUUCCUGGGCCUCCUGGACCUAAGGGAGACAAAGGUUUUCCAGGUACAAAAGGAUCACUGGGUUGUCCUGGAAAAAUGGGAGAGCCUGGGUUACCCGGAAAGCCAGGCCUCCCAGGUGCCAAGGGAGAACCAGCAGUAGCCAUGCCUGGAGGACCAGGAACACCAGGUUUUCCAGGAGAAAGAGGCAAUUCUGGGGAACAUGGAGAAAUUGGACUCCCUGGACUUCCAGGUCUCCCUGGAACUCCAGGAAAUGAAGGGCUUGAUGGACCACGAGGAGAUCCAGGGCAGCCUGGACCACCUGGAGAACAAGGACCCCCAGGAAGGUGCAUAGAGGGUCCCAGGGGAGCCCAAGGACUUCCAGGCUUAAAUGGAUUGAAAGGGCAACAAGGCAGAAGAGGUAAAACGGGGCCAAAGGGAGACCCAGGAAUUCCAGGCUUGGAUAGAUCAGGAUUUCCUGGAGAAACUGGAUCACCAGGAAUGCCAGGUCAUCAAGGUGAAAUGGGACCACCGGGUCAAAGAGGAUAUCCAGGAAAUCCGGGAAUUUUAGGGCCACCAGGUAUCCUUUUUUGUGUUUCUAUUUUUCUUCUUAUUUCUUCUUCUUCUUAAGGUGGCUCUGUCAACUG
rnacentral:lncRNA from 1 species